GUGGGGAAUAUUGCACAAUGGGCGGAAGCCUGAUGCAGCAACGCCGCGUGCGGGAUGACGGCCUUCGGGUUGUAAACCGCUUUCAGCAGGGACGAAGCGCAAGUGACGGUACCUGCAGAAGAAGCACCGGCUAACUACGUGCCAGCAGCCGCGGUGAUACGUAGGGUGCGAGCGUUGUCCGGAUUUAUUCGGCGUAAAGAGCUUGUAGGCGGUUGGUUGCGUCGAAAGUGCAAACUCAGGGCUUAACUCUGAGCCUGCUUUCGAUACGGGCUGAGUGGAGGAAGGUAUGGGAGAAUGGAAUUCCCGGUGGAGCGGUGGAAUGCGCAGAUAUCGGGAGGAAAACCAGUGGCGAAGGCGGUUCUCUGGACCUUUCCUGACGCUGAGAAGCGAAAGCGUGGGGAGCAAACAGGCUUAGAAACCCUGGUAGUCC
rnacentral:rRNA from 1 species